rnacentral:tRNA from 1 species
UAGGAAAUAGUAUAAUUGGAAGUACUAAGAGUUUUGAUCUCUCGGGUACGGGUUCGAAUCCUGUUUUUCUAA